AAAAAAAGUUGGUGAAAAGGUAGCACUUUACGUACCAGCGUCAUGUUGGUCAAUACUUGUGUAUGAUUAUGAGUCACAAAAUCCACAGUGCAGCCUUAUUUAGCCCGAGUCAGGUUGAUAUUAAUAAUUGAGAAGUUCAAGUCGAUUGGACAAGUUUCACGAGCGUAUUCGACUGACAAACAGACAGACGACCAUGAACGGGUACAUAAGUAAACUUGGGCUAAAAAUGUGAUUCAUAAUACCAAACCCAAGAAAAUGAUUUCUUCAAGUCUUUUUGAGCGUGAGGAUGAGUCAUGGGAGUGGACAGAUUCGAGUGCAAUGAAUAAAUAAAUCUAAUUAGCUCA